rnacentral:rRNA from 1 species
UACGUAGGGUGCAAGCGUUAAUCGGAAUACUGGGCGUAAAGCGUGCGCAGGCGGUGAUGUAAGACAGUUGUGAAAUCCCCGGGCUCAACCUGGGAACUGCAUCUGUGACUGCAUCGCUGGAGUGCGGCAGAGGGGGAUGGAAUUCCGCGUGUAGCAGUGAAAUGCGUAGAUAUGCGGAGGAACACCGAUGGCGAAGGCAAUCCCCUGGGCCU